GGGGGUGAUUUGGCUGCAACACUUGUCACCCUGUUGAUUGCUAGGGUUGACUUGUUUGAUCUGACUGGCUGGGUGGGUGUCCUUUUUCACUGUUCCAUGUGUCCCUCCUGAAGCUGCGUGCUUGGUCGAAGAGGACGACCUUCCCCAAUAGAGACGUACUGUUCACCAGUUAAGGGUGUACAGUAGCUGUGUUCCCCUGCUACAACCUCCUAACAAGCUAAAGGUCCAGUUCUAGGACAAUGUAAGGUAGUCAAGCUUCCAUGACUGCAGACACAUCCAAAUAAGGCACUACACGGGGCAGUCUGCCAUUGCAGUUU
rnacentral:snRNA from 1 species